rnacentral:rRNA from 1 species
AGCGAACGCUGGCGGCAGGCCUAACACAUGCAAGUCGAGCGAGGACUUCGGUCCUAGCGGCGGACGGGUGAGUAACGCGUGGGAACGUGCCCUUUGCUACGGAAUAGCCCCGGGAAACUGGGAGUAAUACCGUAUGUGCCCUUCGGGGGAAAGAUUUAUCGGCAAAGGAUCGGCCCGCGUUGGAUUAGGUAGUUGGUGGGGUAUGGCCUACCAAGCCGACGAUCCAUAGCUGGUUUGAGAGGAUGAUCAGCCACACUGGGACUGAGACACGGCCCAGACUCCUACGGGAGGCAGCAGUGGGGAAUCUUAGACAAUGGGCGCAAGCCUGAUCUAGCCAUGCCGCGUGAGCGAUGAAGGCCUUAGGGUUGUAAAGCUCUUUCAGUGGGGAAGAUAAUGACGGUACCCACAGAAGAAGCCCCGGCUAACUCCGCGCCAGCCGCCGCCGUAAGAC